rnacentral:rRNA from 1 species
UACGUAGGGCGCGAGCGUUGUCCGGAUUUAUUGGGCGUAAAGAGCUCGUAGGCGGCUUGUCGCGUCGAAUGUGAAAUCCCGAGGCUCAACUUCGGGCGUGCAUUCGAUACGGGCAGGCUGGAGUUCGGUAGGGGAGACUGGAAUUCCUGGUGUAGCGGUGAAAUGCGCAGAUAUCAGGAGGAACACCGGUGGCGAAGGCGGGUCUCUGGGCCGAUACUGACGCUGAGGAGCGAAAGCGUGGGGAGCGAACAGG